CAGUGCGCCAGGCGGUCUCGAGUGUCUCGCCAGGGGGGCAGUAUCGUGCGUUUAACGCGUAGUACCGUGCGUCGGCUUGUUCGUGACCUUUUCAUUGUUUUGCCAUGAUGUGCUGGGAUUUGUCUUCAAGGAAUUCACGCUCCAAUAACCUGCUUGGAUGAGUAUUUAAGUUACGGUAUCCAACAGUUUGCGUAUUAAUAGAUACUUGACUAUUCCGCAAUGGAUAGCCAAACUUUUAAUAGAGUUGUCGUGGGUUUGGGGAUUGCUCUCGUGGCUGUUGUCUGUGCCGGGAAUGCUGAACCGGCCAGCGGACUCUUAAAGCUUUCAGGUGACGCCGACGGAUUACAGGUAGAUAAUGCCAUCCCGGACAAUUCCAUCCGCCGAUAUUACAUGCCCAGUUACUCCCUUCCCUGGAGUAUGCUGUAUCGAAAACCAUUUCAGACGAUUCGCCGUGCCCCCAACGACAUGCCUAACACACUACUGGGCACUGACCUUUUGUUCAAGCGUACUGUCGGCUCUCCCAUCGAAGUAGAGGCCAAUGAAGCCCCGUGGUACUUAGGCAAACGCUCUUCCGAGCCAAUAAUUGCCUUCGAUCAAGAAGAUUAAUUACCUGCAACGUAUGCUAAUUAAUAUAAUUAUAUUAUGUUAGGAUUUAGUUUGUCCUAUCCAAUAAUUUAGCGCUGUAAAGCGUUCACACCGGCGAAAGAGCACUGCACGCGAUUCUCUAUUUACACCUGAAACAAAAUACAACUGGUUCCAUGAGGAUACAGAGAAAAAGAAAAUGUGAAAUUAAUAAAUAAAAAAG